CAGGCCCAGAGUCACCACCUCCCUCAUUGUGGUAGAGCAGAUGCCAAUUUCUCAGGGGCAGUGGACUGCUUCCGACAGGUAGUGAAGUCCCAGGGUGUGCUGGCCCUCUGGAAUGGACUGACUGCCAACUUGCUAAAGAUAGUUCCAUAUUUUGGAGUUAUGUUUAGCACCUUUGAAUUUUGCAAGAGAAUCUACCUUUAUCAAAAUGGCUACACUGUGUCUCCUUUGAGCUAUAAGCUUACCCCAGGCGUAGAUCAGAGUUUACAGCCACAAGAGUUACGGGAAUUACAGAAGUUGCUCAAAAAUGGUGAUUUUGAAGCAAGAAAACCCACUUUGUAAAACUGAACAAGGCCGAAAGGGUUAAAAGCAUACAUAUAUGUACAGCCUCAUGACCUCAUGUGAUCAGAAGAGGUUGCCUCUGUCCAUUGUCCUGAAAAAAUGAGACGCUUGGACCUUUCACCAUCUGAUCUGUGGGCCCCUUGCUCAUGCAGACUUGGUGGCCUACUUUGAUUAAAGUGCCUGGAGCAGUCUAAUCACUAUCUCGUGAAUUACACCUAGUAUCCCAGGGAUGGGACUGGGCAGUCAGUCCCAGCUCAAAGCUUUCCAAGGUCAUCUCGUCAAAGCAAGAAUAAGACUCAUAUCCGCAGUGACCAUAACAAAGACCCAAAGAAACAGGUUUGCUGUGUUACAAGCCUCCUUAAAAGAAAGGCAGAGAAUGUGGGUCGGAGCGUACAUCAGAAGACCAGACAUCACACUGCCUCUUGCCUUGCUUCCCAGUAUCUGAUGCGUGUACCAACUAGCAAUGACUGCAAAAUUCUUGCAAACCAACACAGACCCUAUUCGAAUAGUUUGGCCCAAACCUUCACAGCACAAGAGUUCAUGACUUCAUCCUCAUCUUUUUUAAGGACCUCAGAAUAGCUUGUGUUUUCGAAGGAAAGAGAUAAAAAUCUGUUUCCAAAACCUUUCAUUUCAAGUUUAGGAAGCCUGGGUCAUUCAUUAAGUAAAGUGGUUUUGUUCAUGUCCAUUUCAUGUUGCCACAGAAAACCCCAGAUUAUCCUCAGCUGCUGCUAUGGACAGGUUCAUAGAAGUGACUUGCCAAUGCCUUUGAUUUUACUCUUGCCUAGCAAAGCCAAGAAUUUGCUGGUAACUUCAAUAGCUCCCAUCCAUUUUGUACCAUGGCCUAGUUGCAAAGAAGGGAAGUAAGACAGCCCUGGACUGGUCGUAGAAGGUCAUCAAGUUUGAGCCUCUAUGAAGUGUGAAUUUCUCUCCCGAGACACAAAAACAGAACAGAAAAGCACUUUGAGCUAAUCUCUUCAACCGACUGGAGAAAUCGCCUUUUGGGAGCAAAAUACCUUGGAUCUACACUAAGGGCAUAUAACCAUACCUUUCAAAUAAUUCUUACUUACAUACUUCCAAAAUUAAUGCCUAACUGUCAAAUCAAUAAUCAUGUCUUUGUAGUUGGAUUUUUUUUCUCUUUUUCAGUAUUUUGAAGGUAUAUUGUAUAUUAAACUGGUUUCUCAUA